rnacentral:rRNA from 1 species
UGAGAGAAGCUGCUUCUAGUACGAGAGGACCGAAGUGGACGUACCUCUGGUGUUCCAGUUGUCACGCCAGUGGCAUUGCUGGGUAGCUAUGUACGGACGGGAUAACCGCUGAAAGCAUCUAAGCGGGAAGCCCCCCUCAAGAUAAGGUUUGCAGUCCCGAUUUAUCGGGAGAGAGACCCCCGGAAGACUACCGGGUUGAUAGGCCGCAGCUGUAAGGGUUGAAAUGCCCUCAGGUGAGCGGUACUAACGGUCGAUUGCUUAACCACA